rnacentral:lncRNA from 1 species
GUCCUGAGAAGAGCAGAGAGUGGCAGGCACUCUAGAAGCAGAGCGGCAGGUGACUGAUGGCUGAGGGGAGAUAAGCACGGAGUCGCUACCGGCCUGCUAGCUUCCGAAGGCAAACUCUCUGAGGCCUAGUGCCAGGAGCGAACUAAAGCCUUAGGUCCUAAAUUGGAGCCAGAAACUGUGGGUCAAAGGAGGAAACAACCACUGAAAAUAAACAAGGCAAGAGAUGGAAGGUAUGUGUACCUUAGGCUGUUUCAUAACAUGUAUACAGGGAGGACAUGCUAUUUAGAUUAUCUUGGCCCAUCCAUGCUCUGCAGAGCAAGUAGUGACUCCCUGGAUGAAGGGGCAAAUCUGGGAAGCUAGACUCAGCAGAGGCACCUGCUGUCACUAACAGGCCACUGGAACACAUUGAAAGGUAAUCCAAGUUAUGGGUCUAGUGGCAACAAGGGCGAUUGGAGUAGGUUUUAAGGAACAUGGCCGGCCUCUCUUUUGUGAGGUAUCUGCUCCUGGUUAGGUAAUUGCAGGACUUUUGUAGGGGGAAAAAAAGACUCAUAUGCAGAAGAGCAAGUAACAUUUUUUCUAGAAAUUAAUUUGCAUUUAUGCCUAUGAUCCGUUUCAAGUUGAUUUUGUGUAAGGUGUGAGGAAUAGAU